ensembl:rRNA 5S_rRNA 5S ribosomal RNA
UUCUACAGCCAUACUACCCUGAACAUGCCAAAUCUCAUUUGAUCUCAGAAACUAAGCAGGGUUGGGCCUGGUUCGUAUUGGAUGUGAGAAGAGAAUCUUGACUGGGCAGAAGAGA